AGCUUUGUGCAGUGGCAGUAUCGUAGCCAAUGAGGUUUAUUCGAGGUGUGAUUAUUGCUAAUUGAAAACUUUUCCCAAUACCCCGCCAUGACGACUUGCAAUAUAGUUGGCCCUGGCAAUUUUUGACAGUCUGUACGGAGA
rnacentral:snRNA from 1 species